rnacentral:rRNA from 1 species
CCUACGGGAGGCAGCAGUGGGNANUUUNGACAAUGGGGCGAAAGCCUGAUCCAGCAGUGCCGCGUGCAGGAUGAAGGCCCUCGGGUUGUAAACUGCUUUUGUACGGAACGAAAAGCCUGGGGCUAAUAUCCCCGGGUCAUGACGGUACCGUAAGAAUAAGCACCGGCUAACUACGUGCCAGCAGCCGCGGUAAUACGUAGGGUGCAAGCGUUAAUCGGAAUUACUGGGCGUAAAGCGUGCGCAGGCGGUUUUGUAAGACAGUGGUGAAAUCCCCGGGCUCAACCUGGGAACUGCCAUUGUGACUGCAAGGCUAGAGUGCGGCAGAGGGGGAUGGAAUUCCGCGUGUAGCAGUGAAAUGCGUAGAUAUGCGGAGGAACACCGAUGGCGAAGGCAAUCCCCUGGGCCUGCACUGACGCUCAUGCACGAAAGCGUGGGGAGCAAACAGGAUUAGAUACCCUGGUAGUCCACGCCCUAAACGAUGUCAACUGGUUGUUGGGUCUUAACUGACUCAGUAACGAAGCUAACGCGUGAAGUUGACCGCCUGGGGAGUACGGCCGCAAGGUUGAAACUCAAAUGAAUUGACGGGG